rnacentral:rRNA from 1 species
GACGAACGCUGGCGGCGUGCUUAACACAUGCAAGUCGAACGGAAAGGCCCUGCUUUUGUGGGGUGCUCUAGUGGCGGACGGGUGAGUAACACGUGAGUAACCUGCCCUUGACUUUGGGAUAACUUCAGGAAACUGGGGCUAAUACCGGAUAGGAGCUCCUGCUGCAUGGUGGGGGUUGGAAAGGUUCGGCGGUUGGGGAUGGACUCGCGGCUUAUCAGCUUGUUGGUGGGGUAGUGGCGUACCAAGGCUUUGACGGGUAGCCGGCCUGGGAGGGUGACCGGCCACAGUGGGCCUGAGGUACGGACCAGACUGCUACGGGAGGCAGCAGUGGGGAAUAUUGCACAAUGGGCGGAAGCGUGAGGCAGCAACGCCGCGUGCGGGAUGACGGUCUUCGGGUUGUAAACCGCUUUCGCCUGUGACGAAGCGUGAGUGACGGUAACGGGUAAAGAAGCACCGGCUAACUACGUG